ensembl:lncRNA
GGCACUUGGUGAUGGAGGCAACAGCAGCAGCAGCAGAAGCAGCAGCAGCAGUGGAGGGAAUUCCCAGGUGGCUGAGCAGCACACCAACUGGAGGGAGGGUCCCUUCAGGGCACUCCGUUAUCCACCAGCCUGGCUCUGCAUCCACCUCCAAUAAUGGUGCCUCCCAAGUUGGCAUCUUUAACUGGAUGGCAAUAUACAUUUCAGGUGGGUUGUACCAGGGGGUGGCCACAGUGCCCAGGGGAGUGGUGCUUCGCUGUACCGAGAAGAGUUUCUUCA